UUGGGCAUCUUCUUUUCUGAAUAGCCAGAGAGAUUGCGUUUGGCGUCGCUGCAAUGAAGCCUGGAACUCUGCUCGGCGUUGCUACCUUCGGCAUCUUCGUCUGCAUGACGGUCAAUAUUCUCUUCGACUGUGCAAAUGCGCAGAAAGAGGUGACGACCACUUGUUUCGUGGACAGAGGUAAAGAAGACUGCAGCCGUUACAAACCAGACGGGAAGACAUGCGACGACCUGAAGUGCGAGCAGCAGAAUAAGAUCUGUUGCAUGAAAGAUUGCAACAUGACCCAUUUCUGCUUGCCGGAAACAAUUUAACGCCCGACCCAUGAAGACGUACAAGUGGCAUACGGCUCUCACUGAAAGCACCUCAUAUAAUCCGGAAUAAAGGCUCAAGCUUGGUUUGGGUUUUCUACUGA